GGUUAAAAAGCUCGUAGUUGGAUUUCAGUCUAGGAAGGUUAACUCGACCGAAAGGUUGUACGUUGAUUUUCCUCAGACUUCGUCAGAAGCUCGUGCUGCACUUAACUGUGUGGUACGAUGUUCUGACCUUUUACCUUGAGGAAAGUAGAGUGUUUCAGGCAGGCUACCCAGCUUGAAUACAUUAGCAUGGAAUAAUGAAAUGGAUCUCGGUUCGAUUUCGUUGGUUCUAGAGCUGAGGUGAUGAUCAAUAGGAACAGGCGAAGGUAUUCGUACUUGAGAGUGAGGAGUGAAAUCCGAUGAUCUCUUAAAGACGAUCCGAGGCGAAAGCAUUUGUCAAGGAUGUUUUCAUUGAUCAAGAACUAAAGUAAGGGGAUCGAAGACGAUUAGAUACCGUCGUAGUCUUUACCAUAAACUAUGCCAACUAGAGAUUGGAGGUCGUUCUUUUUAUGACUCCUUCAGCACCUUAUGAGAAAUCCAAGUCUUUGGGUUCCGGGGGGAGUAUGGU
rnacentral:rRNA from 1 species